CUUGACAAGUAGUGCUUGGAUCGUGAAUAUUCAUUAUUCAGUAAAGAAUGUUUUGGAAGCAAAAUUUCCAAAUUUAGUACAUGGGUUUGCCAAGGAACAAAUUAGAGUCUGCAAAACAGUGGAGCUCUGUAAAUAUGAGCAUUGGAAGUGGAGUCACAUUACUAAGUGUGUUGAGAUGAAAGCUUUCCACAGAGGAUUCUCCUCUUCCCACUUGGAGGCUUCGAGAGUAUAAGCAAUUUUUCUAAACAUCACACAAAA